AGUUUGAUCCUGGCUCAGGAUGAACGCUAGCUACAGGCUUAACACAUGCAAGUCGAGGGGCAGCAUGGUCUUAGCUUGCUAAGGCCGAUGGCGACCGGCGCACGGGUGAGUAACACGUAUCCAACCUGCCGUCUACUCUUGGACAGCCUUCUGAAAGGAAGAUUAAUACAAGAUGGCAUCAUGAGUCCGCAUGUUCACAUGAUUAAAGGUAUUCCGGUAGACGAUGGGGAUGCGUUCCAUUAGAUAGUAGGCGGGGUAACGGCCCACCUAGUCUUCGAUGGAUAGGGGUUCUGAGAGGAAGGUCCCCCACAUUGGAACUGAGACACGGUCCAAACUCCUACGGGAGGCAGCAGUGAGGAAUAUUGGUCAAUGGGCGAGAGCCUGAACCAGCCAAGUAGCGUGAAGGAUGACUGCCCUAUGGGUUGUAAACUUCUUUUAUAAAGGAAUAAAGUCGGGUAUGCAUACUCGUUUGCAUGUACUUUAUGAAUAAGGAUCGGCUAACUCCGUGCCAGCAGCCGCGGUAAUACGGAGGAUCCGAGCGUUAUCCGGAUUUAUUGGGUUUAAAGGGAGCGUAGAUGGAUGUUUAAGUCAGUUGUGAAAGUUUGCGGCUCAACCGUAAAAUUGCAGUUGAUACUGGAUAUCUUGAGUGCAGUUGAGGCAGGCGGAAUUCGUGGUGUAGCGGUGAAAUGCUUAGAUAUCACGAAGAACUCCGAUUGCGAAGGCAGCCUGCUAAGCUGCAACUGACAUUGAGGCUCGAAAGUGUGGGUAUCAAACAGGAUUAGAUACCCUGGUAGUCCACACGGUAAACGAUGAAUACUCGCUGUUUGCGAUAUACAGCAAGCGGCCAAGCGAAAGCGUUAAGUAUUCCACCUGGGGAGUACGCCGGCAACGGUGAAACUCAAAGGAAUUGACGGGGGCCCGCACAAGCGGAGGAACAUGUGGUUUAAUUCGAUGAUACGCGAGGAACCUUACCCGGGCUUAAAUUGCAGAUGAAUUACGGUGAAAGCCGUAAGCCGCAAGGCAUCUGUGAAGGUGCUGCAUGGUUGUCGUCAGCUCGUGCCGUGAGGUGUCGGCUUAAGUGCCAUAACGAGCGCAACCCUUGUUGUCAGUUACUAACAGGUUCCGCUGAGGACUCUGACAAGACUGCCAUCGUAAGAUGUGAGGAAGGUGGGGAUGACGUCAAAUCAGCACGGCCCUUACGUCCGGGGCUACACACGUGUUACAAUGGGGGGUACAGAGGGCCGCUACCACGCGAGUGGAUGCCAAUCCCAAAAACCUCUCUCAGUUCGGACUGGAGUCUGCAACCCGACUCCACGAAGCUGGAUUCGCUAGUAAUCGCGCAUCAGCCACGGCGCGGUGAAUACGUUCCCGGGCCUUGUACACACCGCCCGUC
rnacentral:rRNA from 1 species